rnacentral:tRNA from 1 species
GCUUUCGUAGUGUAAUUGUCAAGCACAUUCGGCUCGUAUUCGAGUGGUCCGUGGUUCGAGUCCUGACGAGGGCA